CACUCUUCCCUGCUCCAUGACACAGCCCUCAAAUGUUUGGUUUGGUACGAGGGGAGUGGGGAAGCAACAUCCCUCCCACUGUAAGCGAAGAUCAAGUUCGUGACCACUUGAGGAAACUGAACAUCCACAAGUCUUUGGGUCCCAAUGAGAUGCAUCCCAGAGUCCUGAGGGAAUUAGCUGAUGUAGUUGCUAAGCCACUCUCUAUGAUAUCUGAAAAGUCAUGGCAAUCGGAUGAAAUCCCUGAUGGCUGGAAAAAAGGCAACAUCACACCCAUUUUUAAGAAGGGUAAAAAGGAUUACCCCAGGAUCUACCGACCUGUCAGUCUCUCCUCUGUGCUAGGAAAGAUCAUGGAGCAGAUCCUCCUGGAAGCUACGCUAAGGCACAUGGAAGACAGGGAGGUGAUAUGGGAGAACCAGCAUGGCUUCACCCAGGGCAAAUCCUGCUUGACCAACCUAGUGGCCUUUUAUGGUGGUGUCACUGCAUCAGUGGACAAGGGAAGAGCCACAGAUGUCAUCUGUCUGAACUUCAGUAAGGCCUUUGACAUGGUACGUCACAACAUCCUUCUCUCCAAAUUGGAAAGAGAUGUAUUUGAUGGGUGGACUGUUCAAUGGACGAAGAACUGGCUGCAGGAUCAAGUCCAGAGAGUCAAUGGCUCAGUGUCUGGGUGGAAAUCAGUGAAGAGUAGUGUCCCACAGGGGUCAGUGCUAGGAACAAUGCUCUUUAAUAUUUUCAUCAAUGACAUUGACAGUGGGGUCAAGUGCUCUCUCAGCAAGUUUGCUGAUGACACCAAGCUGUGGAGUGCGGUCGACACCAGACCAGAGGGACAGGAUGCCAUCCAGAGGGACCUAGACAGGUUUGAGCAGUGGGCCCAGGUGAACUUCAUGAGGUGCGGGAUCUUGCACCUGGGUCAAGGCAACCCUGACUACCAAUACAAGCUGGCGGCUGAAAGGACGGAGUGCAGCCCUGCUGAAAAAGACCUAGGGGUACUGGUGGAUGGGAAGCUGGAUGUGAGUGAGAAAUGUGCCCUUGCAGCCCAGAAAACCAACCAUAUCCUGGGCUGCAUCAAAAGAAGCAUGGCCAGGAGGUUGAGGAAGGUUAUCUUGCCCCCCUACACUGUGCUGGAGAGUCCUCACCUGGAGUACUGUGUCCAGAUGUGGAGUCCUCAGUACACGAGAGAUACAGACUUGUUGGAGCACAUCCAGAGGAGGGCCACAAAAAUGAUCCAGG
rnacentral:lncRNA from 1 species